rnacentral:lncRNA from 1 species
UAUACAUGUUCAGUUUCAGCAGCUCUAUACUUCUAGUUGUAGCUAUCGCUUCGUAUACACGAAAAUUUUUAUGUAUACAGCGGGUCUAUUGGCGUAUCCGGAAAAACGUAGUAAUCCGGAACGUGACAAUGUAGGAGGGCAUAAUGCAAUUUUUUAAGACACAGAGGAACAGAGUAAAAAUAUAGUAUACUACAGGGUGGUAUUUGAACUUUUUUCUUUAUUUUAUGUGCAUUUAGAUUUUGAGUG